rnacentral:rRNA from 1 species
GAUGAACGCUGGCGGCGUGCUUAACACAUGCAAGUCGAGCGAAGCGCUUUUGCGGAUUUCUUCGGAUUGAAGCAACUGUGACUGAGCGGCGGACGGGUGAGUAACGCGUGGGUAACCUGCCUCAUACAGGGGGAUAACAGUUGGAAACGGCUGCUAAUACCGCAUAAGCGCACAGUACCGCAUGGUACCGUGUGAAAAACUCCGGUGGUAUGAGAUGGACCCGCGUCUGAUUAGGUAGUUGGUGGGGUAACGGCCUACCAAGCCGACGAUCAGUAGCCGACCUGAGAGGGUGACCGGCCACAUUGGGACUGAGACACGGCCCAAACUCCUACGGGAGGCAGCAGUGGGGAAUAUUGCACAAUGGGGGAAACCCUGAUGCAGCGACGCCGCGUGAGCGAUGAAGUAUUUCGGUAUGUAAAGCUCUAUCAGCAGGGAAGAAAAUGACGGUA